GAACCUUAGCUGCCAUGGAGUUGCAAGUUUCAUGGAAAGGCAGAGCAGAGACGCUGGCGAGAACGAACCCACCUCCAUGAAAGUACAAGAUGACGGGAAUCUUGGUGUUUGGAGGAAGAAGACGAGGCCGGAAGAGGCGGAGAAAGGUGUUGUUGGCGGGGUUGAGAGGCACAUCUUUGGAAAAAGCCACGGCGGAGUCGGUGGCGGCGGUUUCAUCAGUAGCGGCUACUGAGGGAAAUGCGAUACUGCGAGUGACAGAGCCAUCUGGGUUAGGGACGAGGCCGACGGACUCAUAAGAGUCCAGGGAGGAUGGUGGUGGCGCAGAGUCUGCCAUGGCUGUUUAAGUGGUAAGAGUUUGUUUUGAAGAAGAUAUACAAAGGAGUCUGGUUGCGUAAUAUUAAUGGAGCUAUACGGAGAGGAGUGAGCAACUUCUUGUUCUGGGAUCGAUGGAUCGACCGAGAGUUGAGUUUCUAUCACAAUUCUUUAGGUUGAAUACUUGACCAGUUUUGGCGGCUAUUCGAUUAAAAUCAAUAAUCUUCCUGUGCAAGUAAUGACUUUGUUGCAUGUGAUCAAAUCUUAACUACACUUUUUUGAGCUUUGACCCAAAAUAGUGAGUUUUAAAAAAGAAUUCCAAAAAAUAAAGUUGUUUUGAAAAUAAUGCCCGAUCUAAUGCGUCUGUGUCAUAUAAGCUGCCACGUCAUAAAACCGUAGUUGAUGACUACAGUUUUAUUUUUCUAAAGUGGUUAGAAAUCGUAGUUACCAACUAUGGUUUUAACUUUAAGUUUAAAGCCGUAGUUGGUGACUACGACUUUGACUUUUUUUUUAAAUGGUCAAAGCCGUAGUCACCAAUUGCGGUUUUAACUUUAUAUAUAUUUAUAUAUAACUUUAAUUUUUUUAAUAAAAAUAUUAUAUUAUUUUGAUUUUAAAUAUACUUAUUUCAUUAUUUUAAAAAUAAUAAUAUACGAAAUUAAAUAAUUGAUAUUUUUAAUUUGAUAUAAAAAUAUAUUUUUAAAUUUUAUUAAAACAAUAGGCACUAUAUUUAAUAUAAAUAUAAUUAAUUAAUUAAAAUAAAAUAUAAUAAAUUAUAUUUAUUUAAAAUAAAUAAAUUAUAAAUGUCUAUUUAGAAAAAUAAAAAAGUAAUAUAAAUUAUUAUAUUAAUUAAUAAUUUUUUAUAUAUUAUAUAUAAGUGGUAUAUAAUACCUCACACACACACACAUAUAUAUAUAAAAGUUUAAUUUAAGUUUAAAAUUUAUCACAUUUUUAUUUAAAUAUAUAAAUAAAUUUUAUUAAAACAAUUGACAUUAUAUUUAAUAUAAAUAUAAUUAUUUAAUUAAAAUUAAAUAUAAAUAAAAUAUAAUAAAUUAUGUUUAUUUAAAAUAAAUAAAUUAUAAAUGCCUUAUUUGGAGAAAAAAAUAAUAUAAAUUAUUAUAUUAAUUAAUAAUUUUUUUAUAUAUUAUAUGUAAAUAGUAUAUAAUAUCACACACACACACACACAUAUAUAUAUAUAUAUAAAAGUUUAAUUUAAGUUUAAAAUUUAACAUAUUUAUUUAAAUAUAUAAAUAAAUUAUUAUCAUAUCAAUAUAAUAUUAUGAACUUAAAUUAAAAUAUGAUAAAUUUUAAACUUAAUUGAACUUAUAUACAUGUGACAUUAUAUACCACUUACAUAUAGUAUAUAAAAAAUUAUUAAUUAAUAUAAUAAUUUAUAUUAUUUGUUUUUUAAUAGGCUUUCAUAAUUUAUUAUAUUUUAUUUAUAUUUAAAUAUAAUUAACUAAAUAUAUUUAUAUUAAAUAUAGAGUAGAUUAUUUUAAUAAAAUUUAAAAAUAUAUUUAUAUCAAAUUAAAAAUAUCAAUUAUUUAAUUUCAUAUAUUAUUAUUUUUAAAAUAAUGAAAUAAGUAUAUUUAAAAUCAAAAUAAUAUAAUAUUUUUAUUAAAAAAAUUAAAGUUAUAUAUAAAUAUAUAUAAAGUUAAAACCGCAGUUGGUGACUACGGCUUUGACCAUUUUAAAAAAAAGUCAAAGCCGUAGUCACCAACUACGACUUUAAAAUUAAAGUUAAAACUGUAAUUGGUAACUACGGUUUCUAACCACUUUAGAAAAAUAAAACCGUAGUCACCAACUACGGUUUUAUGACGUGGCAGCUUAUGUGGCACAGACGCAUUAGAUCGGGCAUUAUUUUCAAAACAACUUUAUUUUUUGGAAUUUUUUUUUAAAACACACUAUUUUGGGUCAAAGCUCAAGAAUAAGUACAAAAGAAUCUUCAAGAUGGGUGUUUCUGAUAGUCAACAAACAUAGUUUCUAAUGGCUUGCAACUUUAAGGAAAAUUAUCGGAGUUUUGACCCAAAAUAAGAUAUUAAAAAAAAAAAAAUCAAAAAGUAAAUUGACUUUCAAAAUAAUGCCUGUUGUAGGAGUCUAGGUCAUAAAAUCGUAAUUACAAAUUAUGAUUUUAAAUUUUUUUUAAAUAAGUCAAAACUAUAGUUACUAACUACGGUUUUGAAUCAUUUUCAGUUCAUUUCUUUUUUCGUUUAGGUUUCUUACCUUUAGGUUUUUGCCUUCUUAUUUGUCCUUUUUGUUGUCACUCAUUGCAUUUGGUUGUCUUUGGUUCAUCAUUGGCUGAAAUUCAAUAUUUUCCAAAUUUUCAUAUUGUUCUAUCAUUGGUCAAGUAAGAUUUAUGAGUUUUUUUAGUUUACAUAUAUAUAUAUAUAUAUUUUUUUUGUAAAUCUGUUUGGCUUUCACAUAUUUUAGUUUAUUGUUGUGGAUGUGUUUGGUUUCUGAUUUUAUUUUCAUCUUGAGCUUGGUAGAGAUGUGUUUGGUUUUUUAUUUUAUUUUUAUUGUGAGUUUAGCAAAGAGAAAAAAGUUUUGUUUAGGAAAAGAAAACGGAUAUGGAAUAGAGGGCCACCGUGGAUUUUUUUUUUUUGUUAAAGAUACCAAAAAUGGAGGGGACCAUUGUUAAGAACUCCAAAAAUGUAGGGGACCACAAUUAAAAAUUCCAAAAAUGCAGGGGACUAUAGUUAAGAACUCCAAAUAUGUAGGGUACCACAGUUAAAAACUCCAAAAAUGAAGGAGACCAUUCUUAAGAACUCCAAAAAUGAAGGGGAUGAACAUUGAUUUUUGUUAUAGAAACAGAAAAAAUCAGAGUACUUUGCUUUUAUUUUUCUUCUUCCCACUUUUUAUCGAAUGCUGAGUUAAAGGCAAGCUUUAUAUACAAAUGAGCAUGUAUUUAUUUAUGUUUUCAAUUACCUUCAAUUAUGUUUCAAUCCAUUAUUCUACAAAUAACAAUCAAGAUAGUACUCAAAACUAAUCAACAACAUAUAAAAUUAUGAAACCAAUAACAAAGUAUGAUUGAUAAUGAAUGAUUGGAAUGAACAUUGAAAUAAAACCGGUUAAGCUAAAAAUUCUAUGAGUUGUAUGGAAAUCAUUGACUGUAAUACAAGAGUCACCUAAGCUCCAAGUUGAUGUUAUGAGAAUCAAACAAAAUACAAGGUAAAGUCCAAAGCCUAACAUUCUCUGAGGAAGAUAAAAAAAAAAUUAUAGGGGCUAGUCUAGGAUUUAAUGUUACUCAAAGGUGAUACCAUUCUUGACAUUAAAUGCUAAGUCUUAAUGGUGAAGCACUUAAGUUUCCUAUUCUAUCACUUUGAAGCAAUGUAGUAGUCUAUUUUCUUUUUCAUGAAACAAAUCUAGGUUUCUUUCCACCAUGAUAAUGCAUAAUACUAUAUCAAUAAGCAAACACACACGCAUAGAAUAUGUUGCAACUGACAUAAUAAUUUUUAUUAUACUUCAAAUCAUAAUCCUAUCUUAUCCUUCUAGACUAGCUUCUUUAUAAGAGCCCAUCUAGUUUGGCCAACAAACUAACCACUCUUUUGGUCUUCUAAUUCAUAAAGAACAACCUAGAACAUUUUCAUUAACAUUCCUUCCAUGCCUCUUUUCAAGGGGCCAAUGAAUAAGGCUUUAUCUUCAUAUUCCAUUAUAUCUAACUCAAUUGAAUUAUAUUUAUUACAUAGGCAUUGAACUAAUAGACAUAUGUUAUCUUGCUUUAAUAGUAAUUGAGAUUACUCAAGGCCAGAGGGUUUUUAAAGGAAGAUUAAGAAAUUGACAUCGUUUCAUAUAGAAAUAACACUAAAAGAUGAAAAAUGGGGCUAAUGACUUUUAAAUCUUCUUAACUAAGUACAAAGAAAUGAAAACAUUUAUAAAGUACUGGAAUUUCUAUUGUCAAUUCAAUUCCAUUCUUUUUCCCAAAUUCCUUCAUUCUGGGUAAAAUGUAAAAAUUCAAACUAAUCAAGUUUCUAAAGUUAAUCCAAUUAGGAGAUCUUGCAAUGGAUUUCAUAAUAGAAUAGGUGUUCCGAAAUUUUCUCUAUUAGAGAUUUAAAUCCCUAUUUGAUUCCAAUAUUGGUUAUUGUAGUUUUAUUAAGGUUUUCUCACUUAGAAAGUUUUACAAGAUUCUACAUAGUUGCAACACAACUUAAAAAGAUAUUAGAGUUUGAUUAAUUUAGUCUUUUGGUUUGAUUAUUUAAGCCCAACUUACUUAAUUUCUUCCUCCCCUUAAUUCUACAUCUUUUAGUCAUUCUUUUCCUCCUCAAUUAUUAUGCUAGUCAUAAGUGCAAUACAACUCAAACUAGAUGCCAUUUCUUCAUUUUCUAACCUAAAAACCAAACUUGUAUAACCUUAAAGCCCAUUUCUACCUUCUAGUAAUCAACCCAACAUCCAAAACCAAAUUCCAACAACUUAUUUUCUAGAAUUCCAAUAAUAUUUAUUUAUCUGAGAACCCAUAAAAAUUGGCUUCCGUCUUCAAAAACCUAAGCCAUAACCUCUCAUAGGCUUCCACCCACCAAAUUAAGUGAGUCUCUAGUACCUUCAGAAAUGUUGUCUCUACCAUGUGUCCAAUAGCUACUUUUGAUCUCAAAAAUAUAUUCACAUCUUCAUCUAUAUAUCUAAUAUAUACAACUUGGAAUGAAAAUUUCAAAUAUGACACAAUAUCCAUAGAUAUAACAUUGAGAUUCUCAAAAUUAUCAACACAUCAACACAUUCACUUUGCUUAGUCAUAGACACAAAUAAUUAUUAGUUAUUCGAUAUCUUUAAUGUUUCUUUAUGAAUUAAAAUUCAUAUUUGCAUUGAGGAAACAAUUUCUACUACUUUAUGGAAGAGACUUGAUAUUAUAAAAGGUUUAUAUCCAAUAUCAGAAAAUGAAAAUACUAUUACUAUUGCUUAAAUGGAGUGCAUGCUAUUGCCACUUCUUCUAUAUUGUAUUCUUGUGUAUCUUUAUCCUUAAAAAUGAUUUAUUAUCUAAAUAAUAUAAUUGAGAUAUCAAUUAUUUAUGCAUUUGAUGAGUUUCAACCCAUUUUUAAAACUUAAAUCUACAGGAGAAUUCAAACUAACAUGUUGCUAACAAAGUCGAUUUCAAGUAACCUAUUACUAAAAAAGCUAAAGAAAAGCACAAUGCUCUUAUAUUCUACAAUUGUUUUAAGUUAUUAAUUUGCUUCAAGCUAUUUCCCAAAACUCUCAUAGUUAGAAAAUCCCUAUAAAGGCAUCUCAUAGUGUAAAACCCGGAUCAAAGAAGCUAUCUUCUCCAUAUUUGCAACAUUUUUAGAUGGUCCAACUUGAAGAUCCUUUUAAUCAUUUUCUUCUUUUGGUGCUUGGUCCUAUGUUAUUGGUUCCCAAUACCAUCCAUAUCAGAUUUACUCCCACUCAGGCCAAAAAAAUAAUCUCUUCAGUAUAGAUAUGUUCAAAAGCAAGUAAUUUCUUGGGUUCAUAUACUUAUAGUGUAUGGCUUAAUAAUAAUGUGUAUUUAUGUCCCCUUAGGUAAUGAAAGUUUAACUCUAUACAAACUCCAAGUGGCAUCAAUUGGGUUAAGCAACAAUUUGCUUGACUUAUAUUUGGGUAUGGUAGAUGAAUGUCUUGGUGGAAUGAUGAUUUCUUCAUAUACCACAUGGUGCUUAAAGCAUUCAAACUCGAAUUGCUUAUUGUAGUUCCAAUAAACAUGCUUUUAUAAAAUAAAAAAAAAAGAAUAAGAUCACAUAUAUAAAGAAGGAAUAUACAAAGAAGGAUGAGAAAAUACUCAAAGGAGAGCUAAAAGUUUUCUUAAUUGCUUUAUAUAUGGUUUAAAGUAAAAAGAAUUAUUAAUAUUAAACAGAUUUAUUAAAUGUCUAUUUGUUUUCAUUUUUAAAAUGUUUAUAUAUAAACAUAUUAUUUAUUUUUAAUAUUAAAAUAAUGUUUGAAAUUUUUUUUAAAAGAUGAUUUUUUUUAAAAAGUUUGUUAAAUGUGUUUUUUAAAUUAAAAUUAAAAUUAAAUAGAUUUAUAAAAUGUUUAUUUGUUUUCAUUUUUAAUAUGUUUAUAUAUAAACAUAUUACUUCUUUUUAAUAUUGAAAUAAUGUUUAUAUAUAUAAAUGAUUUUUUUUCUAUAAUUGUGUAUUUGAUAUUUUAUUAAUAUAUUUUUUUAGUGGUGAGUUAUCUUUUAUUUGAUUUUUAGAUUUAAUUUUUUUUUCUACUUUUAGGUUUAAUCAAAUAUCAAGUGAUUUAUGAAUAACAACAUAAUUAUUUAAUUAAAUAUUAUUUAAUGGUUAAUAAUAUUUUAUUUUAUUUUAAUAUAUGAUAUUUUAUAUAAAAUAAAAUAAAAAUUAUAGGUGGAUUAUUUUUUAUUUAAUUUUGAGAUUCUUCUAAUUGUUUAGCCUUUUAGGUUUCACUAAACAUUUAUUGAUUUAUAGCCCACUAUCUAAGUUUUAAAUAAAAAUUUUAUCAAAUAUUUAUCUAUGAAUAUAUUUAUAUCAUAGAUAACUAUUUAAAUAAAAAAUUUAUUAUUAUGAAGUGAUUUAUAUUUUUCCCCAUAAUGUGUAAGAAGGUGUUUUAUUAUACAAUUGUGUAUUCACGUGAUAAAAGAUUAUACACAAUUUCUCUUGAACAUUCUUGUAUGUGUGUUUUUGUAAUUAUUUUAAUAAACAAGUAUGUUAAGUUCAAAACACAAAGACUUGGUAUUAUUUUCAUUGAUUAUUAAACCAUUUGAUAUUUUAUUUUUUGUAGGUAAAUCAUGUCUGAAUCUAUUGUUCCUAUGAUUUGUUUUUGUAAAGGAAAAAUGUUGAGGACAGAAACAAAUGUAAAAUAUGUUGGUGAUCAAGUUGUAAUUGUGUCUUUGGAUGUGCCUAUUAGUUCAACAUAUCUAUCUAUGAUAUACUCAAGAACUGGCAUUGACAAAAAAUAAUUUCAAUUAGUCCUCAACUGUAGGUAUCAUUUAAAAAAGGAAAAUAGGUUUCAACCUUGUCCAAUAUGGGAUGAUAAUACUUUAUACCAAAUGUUGAAAUUGGUUAACACAUUUGGAAUGGACGAAAUUGAAUUGUAUAUUGAACAAGUGCUAGUACAAGCACGAGUGAGAGGGCAAUUAUUGGGUAACUUGACACAUUUAUUACUUGGAGAAAAUGAUAAUGUUGAGGAAUUUGAGUAUGGUUGUGGACCUAGUAGCGCCCCAGUUGCAAUGACUUAUGAGUGUAGAGAAGAUGAAGAUGAAGAAGAAUGUGAAUCCCAAGAAGGUGAUGAUGAAAGUGAGGGAGCAGAAGAUGUUCAACAUGAUGGCAAUGAGACAUUCAAAUUUAUGGAUGAGAAAACAAUAAUGUUAAUGUUGUUUCAUCUUUCUUAGCUCUUCACGAAGCAAUGGAAAAUGAACAAGGAAGAUAUGUCUUCGUGGAUGGGGAAGGUUGUGAUGUGUCAAAUAACCCAGAUCCUGAGGACCCAAUGGAGUUUUCCCCUGUUCAGUAUCACUCGGCACCAUCUUUGCAAUUUGAAAAUGUAGAAAACAUUAGUAUUGUCGUUUCAAGUGACUAGACCCCAUGGGGGAACACUAAUAUUGGAAACUCAGGUGGAGAGUUCAUGGUUGGCCAAGUUUUUAAUUCAAAAGUAGAUUUAGAACAUGCUGCGAAGUUGUACUCUUUUAGUGCACAUGCACCAAGUGUAUGUUCUUGUUUUGUUAACUAAAAAGUUGUUUGUCUUAAGAUGCAAUAAGAUUGAACAAUCUCAAUGUCCAUAGAAGCUUCGUGUUAUGGUCAUAAAAGGUACAUCUUUAUUUGCAAUCAAUAAAUACAAUGGUAUGCACAAAUGUGUAAAUCAUUGCUUGAAUCGGGACCAUUGACAAUUAGAUUUCAACUUGAUUGCUGCUCAUAUCAAAGGAAUGAUUAAGGCACAAUUCACAUUGUCAGUGGUUGCUAUUCAAACAAGUAUUAUGGAGAUAUUCAAAUAUCAAAUAUCAUACAAGAAGACAUCUAAAGUGAAGCUUAAAGUACUUACAAACUUAUUUGGUGAUUUUUAUAAGUCAUAUGCAGAGCUGUCACAUUUUUUUCAUUGGCUUAGAGCAGGCAAAUUCAGGAUGUGUUGUAAUUUCAAAAACAUUUCCUAGUAUUAUGGAGAAUAUAGAGAUAUUUUAGUGAGUUUUUUUUUAACAUUUCAUCUAUCUAUUGAAGGUUUCAAGCAUUGUCGGCUCGUACUUAGUAUUGAAGGUACACGUUUGUAUGGGAAAUAUAAAAACACUUUAAUGAUUGCUAUGGUUUGUGGUGGAAAUAAUCAGUUAUUCUCAUUGGCUUUUGUCCUAACAGAGGGUGAGAAUAUUGAUAGUUGGGGAUGAUUUUUGGCAUGCAUUAGAACUAGAGUAACUCAUAGGAGGGGACUUUGUGUUAUAUCAUAUCGACAUUUAGGCAUUAUGGUUGAAAUGAACGAUGUUCAGCUUGGUUGGUCUGAGCCAUAUGCAUAUCAUAGGGUUUGUAUGUGUCAUCUUGCCAGCAAUUUUAUGACUCAAUUCAACGAUAAAAUAUUGAAAAAUCUGAUGUGCAAAGCAGUCUUAGCAACCAAGAUUGAAAAAUUCAAUAAACAUAUAAACACAAUUGGAAGGAUUAAUGCAACCACACAACAAUGGUUAGAAGCAAUCCCUUUUGAGAAAUGGGCUCUCUCUCAUGACGGAUGUUGAAGGUAGGACAUCAUGACUACAAACAUGUCAGAGGUGUUCAAUAGUGUGUUUAAAAGGGCUCGUAGCUUACCCUUAACUGCUUUGGUUCAAUUGAUAUUUUUUCGGCUAAAUAGUUACUUUGUUGUGAAAAGGGAACAAAGUGUUAAUUGACUUGCUUCGAAUGAGGAAUACACUCCAUAUGUCAAUGCUAAGAUUAAGGCAAACGUGGUUAAGGCGGGAUCUCAUGAGAUUGUUUUAUAUGAUCACAUCCAAGGAUGAUUCCAUGUGAAGACUAGUAGGGGUACUAAGAGUAGCUCAACUGGUGGUCAAACAUAUCGCUUCAACUUACAUGAGCAUGCAUGCAUGUAUGGUAAAACACUCAUAUAUGGAUUCCCAUGUAGCCAUAUUCUAGUAGCAUAUCAUUUUUGUUUAGUUGAUUUUAGACCACUUGUUGAACACUACUACAGUACACAAUUAUACUAUAAUACUUAGGCACCUUUGUUCCAUCCCAUUUUCAAUGUAUAUGAGUGACCUCCUUAUGAUGGUCCGAUUAUCGUGCCUUCUAAGUUGAUGAAACGUGCAUCAAGUGGAUGACCUAAAUCAAGUCAUUUACAUAAUGAAAUGGAUGUUAGAGAGGACAAGACUUCUAUUACAUGUAGGUAGUGUAAACAAAGUGGCCACAAUCGCCGCUCUUGUCAAAAUAGCAAUAGAGUUGAUUAUACCAUGUGAUGUAUGCAUGUAAUUUUCUUGGAUAUUGUGAUGUAAGCUACUAUGAUACUAUUUUUAUGCAAUUAUUGACUUUGGUUUGAUUAUAAAUAUUGAUGUUAUUUGUAUAAUCAGGUGAUUUGUAUUUGGGAUCAUUUUCAUAUUAUAAGGGAAACUCUAUCAAAAUUUUGAAAUUUUCUAUUAAAAAUGUUAACAAAAUGUUCCAUUGUAUUUGUAUCUUUAAUUUUAAUUUAGACUAGUAUGACUUGUUUAUUGGUCAUAAAUGAAUUGAUCUACUUAAAUUUAUUAAAUCGAUAUAUACUUAAUAUAGAGGAAACUCCAUAAAUUUUUAAAACUUUUCCAUUAUAAAUAUUUUUAUUUAAAAACAAUAAGUAUUAUUUAUUUAUCUUCACAAUUUUGUUACAGAUAUAGAGUAUAGAGGACAUAGUUUUGAUCCAGAUCCAUUAGAUACAUUUGUUUUGGUUCUACAGGAUAGACAUAAGUCUCAUUUAGUUGACUCUAGUCAGGUAUGUAUAUGAAAGCAUAUAAUAUAUUUUUAAAGAAUGAAAAAAAAAUUGAAGUUUAUUAUGUAAAUGAUUUAUUUGUAUUUUUAUAGCUUGUUUCAGUCUUAACUUAUCGACAACAUAUAUCUAGGUUUAUGUGAGAAUGGGAGAUGGAUCCUCGUCUUCAACCUUAUAUUAUUCGAUCUAGAUUGUAUGGUGUAUGUCGUAUUGGACACAUUACACUAGAUUGGGGACUAAUCACUAAUCUAGUUGAGAUAUGGCAUUCUGAGACACACACAUUUCACCUACCUAUUGGAGAUAUGACCAUUACUUUACAGGAUGUUGCUAUCAUAUUAGGACUUCGUAUUCAUGAGCAUCCCAUCACUGACACAUGUGACAUAGAUUGGUCAUUGCUAUGUUAUGAACUUUUAGGUGUGACUCUUCCUACAUAUGAGAUUAAAAGGUCAACGAUAUCAACACGAUGGCUAUGUCACCAAUUCUCUUAUCCAUUGAUUGAUUCAGAUAAUGCUACAUUAGAGCGGUAUGCAUGAGCUUUCAUAUUAGCACUACUAGGCUCAACACUAUUUAUAGACAAGAAGAGUACCCACAUCCAUAUGUGUUAUCCCCAUUGCUUAGAGACUUAACUCAGAUAUCUAUGCAUAGUUGGGGCAGUGCAAUAUUAGCACACCUAUAUAGGGUCAUUAAUGACAUAUGAGAUCAAUUUGACAAAGAAGCUACAAAAGGGUGAAGACAAAAAGAAGAAGAGCAUAACCCUCAAAGCUACAACCAAGGAAAAAGAAGAUGUUGAAGAAGAAAAGCCAAGUGAUGAAGAUGAUGAUUUAGCCCUCAUCACAAGAAAGCUUAACAAAUUCAUGAGAGGUGAAAGGUUUAGAGGAAGGAAAUUUACCUCUAGAAGAGAUCUUUCUAAAAAGGAAUCUUCAUCCCAUGGUGACAAGGAGAAAUGGGAAGAGAAAAGAGAUUUGAUAUGCUUUAAGUGCAAAAAACCGGGACACAUUAAAUAUGAUUGUCCUCUCUACAAGAGUGAAGCCAAGAUAAGAAUGAAGAAGGCAAUGAUGGCCACUUGGAGUGAAAGUGAAGAAUCCUCCGAAGAAGAAAAGAAGAAGGAAAUAGCAAACAUGUUCUUCAUGGCAAUAGAUGAUCUUGAUAAGGAAUCAAAGAAGGAUAAGUGAUUCUUGGAUAAUGGAUGCUCAAGACACAUGACCGGGGAUGAAUCCAAGUUUACUUUCUUUACAAAGAGAAAUGGAAGAUACGUUACCUUUGAAGACAAUUCAAAAGGAAGGAUCAUUGGCCAAGGCAACAUUGGUAAUGACACAUCUUCUCUUAUUGAAAGUGUUUUACUAGUGGAUGGUUUAAAACAUAAUAUUUUGAGCAUAAGUCAACUUUGUGACAAAGGUUUUAAAGUGAUUUUUGAAGCAUCUCAUUGCAUCAUCAAAGAUAUUCAAAAUGAUAAAACCAUCUUCAUGGGCCAUAGAUGUGAUAAUGUUUAUGUAAUAAAUAUUUCAAAAUAUGAUGGCCAUGAUAGAUGUUUUUCAAGCAUGCAUGAUCAAAGUUGGUUGUAGCAUAGGAGGUUGGGACAUGCUAACAUGGACCUCAUUUCCCAACUCAACAAAGAUAAACUUGUUAGAGGCCUUCUCAAAAUAAAUUUUCAAAAAGACAAAGUUUGUGAAGCUUGUCAAAUGGGAAAGCAAAUCAAAAACUCUUUUAAAAACAAAAAUUUCAUUUCAAAAACUAGGCCUCUUGAAUUGUUGCAUAUGGAUUUAUUUAGUCCCUCUAGAACACCAAGCCUUUGAGGAAAAUCUUAUGCUUUUGUUAUUGUGGAUGACUUCUCUAGAUACACUUGGGUCUUAUUUUUAAAUCAAAAGAAUGAAGCCUUUUAUGAGUUUUAAAAGUUUUGUAACAAGGUUCAAAAUGAAAAAGAUUUUACAAUUACUUGUAUAAGAAGUGAUCAUGGGAGAGAAUUUGAAAAUAUUGAUUUUGAAGACUAUUGCAAUGAGUAUGGUAUUAACCACAAUUUUUCGGCUCCUAGAACUCCUCAACAAAAUGGGGUAGUUGAAAGGAAAAAUAGAACUCUUCAAGAAAUGGCUAGAACCAUGCUAAAUGAAAACAAUUUACCAAAAUACUUCUAGGUCGAAGCGGUUAACACUUCUUGUUAUGUUUUAAAUAGAAUUUUAUUGAAGCCUAUUCUUAAGAAAACUCCCUAUGAGCUUUGGAAAAACAAGAAACCCAACAUUAGCUAUUUCAAAGUCUUUGGAUGCAAAUGCUUUAUAUUAAAUAUCAAAGAUAAUCUUGGAAAAUUUGAUGCAAAAUUGGAUGUUAAAAUUUUUCUUGGUUACUUAACUUCAAGUAAAGCCUUUAGAGUUUUUAACAAAAGAACCAUGGUUGUUAAGGAGUCAAUCCAUGUUAUUUUUUAUGAAUCUAACAAUUCUCUCCAAGAAAGAGAGAGCUUUGAUGAUGAUUUAGGUUUGGAGACUUCCAUGGGAAAAUUACAAAUUGAAGAUAGAAGGCAACAAGAAGAAAUUGUAGAGGAUCCCAAGAAAGAAGAAUCACCUUUGGCACUACCUCCUCCUCAACAAGUGCAAGGUGAAUCAAGCCAAGACCUCCCUAAAGAUUGGAAGUUUGUCAUCAACCACCCACAAGAUCAAAUUAUAGGUAAUCCAUCUAGUGGGGUAAGAACUAGAUCAUCUCUUAGAAAUAUUUGCAAUAAUCUUGCUUUUAUCUCUCAAAUUGAACCUAAAAAUAUAAAAGAUGCACUAGUUGAUGAAAAUUGGAUGAUUGCUAUACAAGAAGAGUUAAACCAAUUUGAAAGAAGUGAAGUAUGGGAAUUAGUGUCAAGACCUCAAAAUCAAAGUAUUAUUGGAACUAGAUGGGUCUUUAGAAAUAAAAUGGAUGAAAAUGACAUAAUUAUAAGGAAUAAAGCAAGAUUGGUAGCCCAAGGUUUUAAUCAAGAAGAAGGGAUAGAUUAUGAAGAAACAUUUGCUCCCGUAGCUAGAUUGGAAGCCAUUAGGAUGCUACUUGCCUUUGCAUGUUUUAAAGACUUUGUUUUAUAUCAAAUGGAUAUGAAAAGUGCUUUCUUAAAUGACUUUAUAAAUGAAGAGGUAUAUGUUGAACAACCACCCGGUUUUCAAAGUUUUAACUUUCCUAAUCAUGUUUUUAAACUUAAAAAACCACUUUAUGGUUUGAAACAAGCACCUAGAGCAUGGUAUGAAAGAUUGAGUAAAUUUCUUUUGAAAAAAGGUUUUAAAAUGGGAAAAAUUGACACAACUCUUUUCAUAAAAACCAAAGAAAAUGACAUGCUCUUAGUACAAAUAUAUGUUGACGAUAUCAUUUUUGAAGCUAUUAAUGUUUCUCUUUGUGAAUAAUUUUCUAAAUGCAUGCAUAGUGAGUUCAAAAUGAGCAUGAUGGGAGACCUUAACUUCUUCCUUAGACUUCAAAUCAAGCAACUAAAGGAAGGAACCUUCAUCAAUCAAGCAAAGUAUAUAAGAGAUCUUCUCAAAAGGUUCAAUAUGGAGGAAGCCAAAACAAUGAAGACUCCAAUGAGUUCAUCCAUCAAGCUUGACAUGGAUGAGAAAGGUAAGUCCGUCAACUCAACUAUGUAUAGAGGCAUGAUAGGUUUUUUGUUAGAUUUGACCACUAGUAGACCCGACAUCAUAUAUAAUGUAUGUUUGUGUGUUAGAUUUCAAUCUUGUCCUAAAGAAUCUCAUUUAAGUGUUGUAAAACGAAUUCUUAGAUAUUUAAAAGGGACAAUAGACAUAGGUCUAUGGUAUCCUAAGGGUGAUAACUUUGAAUUAAUUGGAUACUCGGAUACCAACUUUGCCGGUUGUAAAGUUGAGAGGAAAAGAACUAGUGACACUUGUCAUUUCCUAGGACACUCACUUGUUUCAUGGCAUAGUAAGAAGCAAAAUUCGGUAGCUUUGUUUACGGCGGAAGCCGAAUACAUAGCAGUUGGUUUAUGUUGUGCACAAAUCCUUUGGAUGAAACAAACACUUAGUGAUUUCAAUUUGAUUUUUAAGCAUGUUCCUAUUAAAUGUGAUAACACUAGUGCCAUAAACAUUUCAAAAAAUCCGAUGCAACACUCUAGGACUAAGCAAUAGAGAUUAGACUCCAUUUUCUUAGAGAUCGUGCACAAAAGGGUGACAUUACACUUGAAUUUGUAAGCAUAAAAGAUCAACUUGCCAAUAUUUUUACAAAACCCCUAAGUGAAGAGCAAUUUGUUGAUAUUAGAAGACAACUAGAGGUGAUUUCUUUAUAAUCAAAUGAUUGCUUGAUGAAUUCUUGAUUGAAUAUACCUUAUGAUUGCGUGAAUUUCAUAUCAUAAGCAUUAUAUAGAAAUAAUCUUAGGAAAGAGGUCAAAUUUUGACCAAAAAUCAAAAUUCUCGUGGCAUUGGAUAUAAAAAAUUGGGGAUUUCAAUUGAAAAGGGCAGAGGGAGGAUCAUGAGACAAGAAAAUGCAAAAAAUUGGACCGUUGACCGUUGACCAUUGACCAAGCGGUCGACCGGUUCCUCAACCGGUCGACCGAUUCGUCGAGGCUGGGAAUCUAAAGAGGCCCCCACGCGUUAUUUCUCUCACUGUUCUCUUUCACUCCUUGAAAACCCUUCACAUACCUGCUUCCAGAUAUCAUUUUGGGUUGGAUUUUGGACUGAUUGAAGGCUUUGGAGUUGAUUUUGGGACGUUUUGAGGCUAGGGUUUUGAUUUGAAACCCAGGGUUUCAGUUUUUGGGGGUGAUUUCUCUCUGACCACACUCCUCAAGCUUGGAUUCAGCCUCAUCUCCAUGCACCUAGGGCUUCGGGUUGGUGUUUGCUUUCUCUUAUUUGAUUUCAUUCUCCCUUUGGACUUCUCUUUCUCUCUAUCCCGUUCAUUGGAUGGCUCCAAGGCAAGAGACGGGGACCUCCAGGGCUCAGGGAAAGUGCCCUGUUGAGCCAUCUCAGCCUGAGCAGACGGAGGCUUGCCAAAAGGCGAGGUAUGACACGACCCUUUUCAGUUCCGUCGAAGACUAUCAGCGAUACAAACAAAAAUUCACCCAGAGGAAAGUCGUUUUAGGGAGAAGUAUCAAUUUCUCCCAACUUCAGCACUUCGGGUUUGAGAGACUUUUUUUUUCGGAUGGGAUGGUUGCCAGUUGUGACGAUUUUCGAGCCGAUCUUCCUGACUCUGGUGCGGGCUUUUUAUUCCCGGACGACCUAUGGGCUUGGAGGACCAGUCUUGUCCAUAGUUAGAGGAGUUGAGAUCAGAUUGAGCCCGGAGAGUAUCUGUUGCAUUCUCGACAUUCCUGCAGUUGGACUUUGAGUGUAUGAGGCCAAGGCGUGGCCCACUGUGUCGGGAUUCGAGCCUAGAGAGGUUGUUCAGAGGUUGUGUGGACUCACAGAUGCCUAGGGGAUGGGCAAACCAUCAGCACACAGCUUGACCGUGCCCAGCCGAGUCCUUCAUCACAUGAUUUGCUCCAUCUUAUUGCCACGAGGAGGACAUCGAGACGAGGUCUCCUACCUUGAGGCAUUCAUUGUGGACUCGAUUCUGACUGGACGAUGGAUUCACGUGGGAUAUCUGAUGAUGAUGCAUAUGAUAUCCUGCAUUGAGAGCAUGACAGGAGUACUCCCCUACGGCCGUUUCCUUAGCCGAGUAUUCAAGGAUGCUGGGGUCAACUUGAACAGAGAGACGGACUUCGAGGCCCCCACUAGCUAUGACACGUACGAUGAGCAGUCCUUGAGGCGAUUGAAGUUCGAGAAGGCACCUGAUGACUCUUGGAUUAGGAGAGCUGAGCAACAGGCCCGGGGUCAAGGACAGAUGCAUCCCGGAGCAGAGGAUGAGGCCAAGAUCAGAGAGAUGGAGGAUGGAUUAGACCCUUAGAGGGAUUUUGAGUAGAGAGGGCCCGAGCUUGACAUUUGACCUCCACCUCAGUCAGAGGGUAUUCAUGUUGAGGCUACUUUCUCAAAGCCUAUGAUGACUGCGUCGUCUUACACAACAGGACCAUCAUUUCAGCCAUUAUUUACUGAGCUUCCUCACACAGAGCUACCAUCUCAAGCACCUCACGCUCCUGAUCAUGCGCCUUGGAUGUAUGUCUCAGUUCAGAUCAGUCCCUUGGGACUCGUAUGGAGGAGCUUACUUUAGUUCAUGACACUCGUUUCUAUUUUAUGGAAGAGUACAUGGAUCAGUAUCAGACUAGUGUCACUUCUCGAUUUGAGCACUUCCAGUAGAGAUUUGAGCGCAUAAAGGAGCGUAUGGAUCAGCAGCAGGCUACAUUCGAGCAUCUCCAAUAAAGUAUUAAUCGCAUUGAGAGUCGCCAGGCGAGUCAACAUGAGGAGAUGAUGGCUUACCUCCGCUCUGUGUUUCCUCCUCCACCCCCUCAGCCUUAAGAUUAUCUAGAGUUCCCCCUCAGUUUUUUUUUUAUUUUUUAUGUUGCCAAUAGGGGAGAAAUAUAUAGGAUCUAGGAAACCCUCAUGCAUGUCAUUGUCAUCAUUGUCAUAUCUAUCUUGUUUAGCAUAUGUUUUCGUGUACAUGUGAGGUUACCAUAUAUAUAUGAUAUGAUAUUUUCAUGAUUCAUUGCUUCCUAUUCAAAAUUUCGUGUUUUACAUUGUUUCCUAUUAAAAAUUGUUUAAUUGAUCCAUGAUUGGUUUGAGGAGGAGAUUUUUUUCUCUCCUAGAUAACCAAGGUUUGUCAUCAUAAAAAAAGGGGAGAUUGUUAGCCCAAAGGUUCUCCUAAUCAGGUUUUGAUGAUAACAAACCAUGGUUAAGUGACUAAUUUGUUUAAUGGUUAAGAAUCUCAGGCAUAAACUCAAAAAUUCAUCAAAUGACCAAAUGGAUAUAAGAUUGAGACGCUUGGAAGACUUGUGAUCAUAGGAAACUAAUGAAAGAUGAAUGCAUGAGUGCACUUAGGUGUUUCACAUGUUUCAUGCAACAUAGAAAACUCAGUUUAUUAUUUAAAACUUCGAUUUCAUUAAAACCCGAGUUUUUAACUAAUGUACCUUAGGCAAAAUGUUUUAUAAUUGCUUAAUAAUUCACCUAAAAACCUUACCUAAGUGUUAGAAAAGAAAGGAAUUAAAAAAUAGGUUUUCAGGGCCAAAAAGGCUCAACCGGUCGAGGUUAUGGCCAACCGGCUCAACCGGUCGAGGUUAUGGCCAACCGGUUGAGGAAUCGGUCGACCAGUUGUACUCGUUCGGUCGAGAGAUGUCAAAACUUUCUCCCUCUCCCAAUGGUCUUCUCUUCCCGGUUGAGGUUCGGUCGAGACAACGGUAACCUGUCAAACAUUAAAUGCUCCAACGGCUAGUGAACUGGUCGACCCCUAGCUCGAUUAGACGAGGUUACCUUUUGCUGUUUUUGACUCCCGAGCUUAGACACCUAUAAAUUGAGAGCUCCACUUCAUUUAUUAACAAAAUAACACUUUCAUUCAAUAAUUUACCUACCCCUUCUUGAUCAAAAAACUCUCAUUUCUUUCAUAGUGUAUUAAAUCACGACUUGCAUAUUCUUUAGUGCACUCUUGUGUGUCAACCUAGCUUUGUCUUGUAUUUAAGCUAUUCUUAAGCUAGGUUGAGGAAUUCUUUCUUGUAAAAAUCGGAGUGUUAAAGCCUUCAACAGGUUCGAAUCUUGAAGAGAUUGUGUAAGAGCCCAUUGGAACCGAAAUCCAAGUGUAAGAAGAUUGAAAGCUUGGUUGAAGCGUCAAGUUAGUGGAACCCUCACUCAGUUAGGAGAUUGAGGAGAGUGGACGUAGGCAAGGAAGUGUCGAACAACUAUAAAACCCGAGUUUGAAUUUUCUAACUCUAUUUCUUUAUUUUGCUUAUAUUGUGUUCGAAUUUAUUGUGAUUGAAAAGAUUUUAAAAACCCAAUUCACCCCUCUCAGUGUUUUUCUUAUUUAAGCAUAACUUUUGUUUUCUCAAUUUUCAUCUAUUUAUCAAACAAUUAAACUAAAUAGUGAAUUGAUUGGAAAAACAAAGGUAUUUUCUUUCUAGAAUUCUAUAUUUUAAGAAGUGGAAGAACAAAUUCUAUUAGGUUACAUGGUAUUUUAAGUUUAAAAUUUCAAACCUUUCCAUUUCAUUUUGAAAGGAAAAAAAUGGAAAAAAAAAAUAUUUUUGUUGUAUUUAAGUCAUUUUCCAAUCAUAUAAUAUGACUUCACUUAAAUCAACGAAGAAAUAGUUUUUUUUUUUUUUUUUAAGAUAAUUGCACAUUUUUUUUUCUUGUAAAAUAGAAAAGAGAUCCCUAAUUUGUACAAAGUUUUAAUUGAAAACUUGUUGAACAUCGUUGUAUACUUAUUUAAUUAAUUUUUUUCCUCAUAAAAUAGAAGAUAAAAUCAAGGAUGAUAAUGUGACAAAUUCAAGACGGGUGUAGGGUUGCACCCAUCCCAACUCUGCCUUAUUUAUUGAAAAUAAUUUUCAUCCCUAUCUCAUUAAAAAAAUUAAACAGGUGGGGUGAGGAUGCAAAUUUCCCAUACCCGUCCCACCUUGUUUCAUUUAACUUUUUCUGAAGUUUUUUUUUAAUUAUUUAAAAAAAAUUAAUUACAUUAAAAUCAAUAUUUUAUAAAUAAUUAAAAUAUUUUAAUUUUUUUAUAACUUAUUGUUUUAUUAUUAUUAUUGAUUUUAUAACUUAUAUUAAAAAUAGGUAAAUUAAAAUUAAUUUUAUCUAUAAUUAGGGGUAAGACAAGACAAUACCUGAACCCACUCAAAACCUGUCUUAAGUUUUAAAAAUGAUCACAAAUUUAAGAGUAUGAAAAGUACCCGAAAAAACUUGACUUAUUGUCAUCCAUAAGAGUGAUCCUCUAUUUAUAGAAAAUUUUAACUUAAAAGCUUGUUAAAGCUUAUGAUAUGGUUAUUUUCUUCUCUUUCUCAUAAAAGGAUCCUCUAUUUUUUAGAAUUUUUUUUAACAAAUAGAUAAUUCUCUCUAACACUUAGAUUAUGUUUGGCUAAAAAAAAAAAUACUAAGAAUGCAAAUAAAAGGUAAGGAAAAAAAUACAAAAAAGAUGGAGCUAAAUAUUUUAAUGUGUAAUUUAAUUUUCUCUCCAUUAAUUAUUCCAUCAAUAAUCAAAUAAGAGAAUUUUUUUUUAAAAAAAAAUCUUAUUUAUUUAUUUAUUUAUUUAUUUUGGUUAUGUUUUUCUUAUUUAUUUAUUCCUUUCUUUCUUUUGGUUAUGUUGGGUUUAUAAAAGAUUUAAGAAAUAAAAUAAAAAGAAAACGUAAAAGAAAUGAAAAAAUUAAAAGAAAAUAAAAGAUAGAUUUAUUAGAGACAUGAAGAUUCACAAGAAUAUUAUGAGGGCUUUGGUUAGGUUGACAAGUCGGGAUCGAAAGCUCCUGUACACCCACCAACUCCAUAACGUUAGAAGUGCUUAAAGGCUAUGUAGUGAGGCCGUGGGUAGACAGAAAUCGAAUCAAUCAACAACUUUCUUUUUUGGCCAAGUGUUUUUUUCGAGAUCCAUCCAAAUUUAUGUAAGAUGGAUCCAUAUCAUUUUUCAACCAUGUGGACCACACCGGCAACUGUUUGUUUCCCAAGAAAAUGAUGUUUUUUUACCACUUGGUGAUAUAACUUCUUAUGCCAUUUUAAUAUGUUGUAUUAAAAUAGAGAUAAACAAAUAAUUAAUACACUCCAUGAACCUUCUGUCUGAAAAUUUAUUUGAUCUAAAAUGAAAAUCCAAUUUAUUAAUGCUUUGGGUCAAAAUCAUGGAGCGUGGAGUCAAUGAAAUCCUUGACAUCAUCAUCCAUGGCUUCAGCGUGUGAGGGAUCAGAGCACUCUAUGCCAUGGUGGCCGCCAUCUUUGAAUUUCGCCACCACGUGCACCCCACGCGCCUCCAUCAUCUCCACAACCCUCCUCUGUCUGUCAACCAGUGGAUCUCCACCGUACCCUAUCACCAGACACUUCUGUAGCCGUCCGAUCUUCUCCUGGUAGGACCCUCCCGCCAGUGGAUUACUGUACUCAUGAUCACGAUCAGCGCCGUCGGGCAAUGCAAGUGCCCAUAACAGAUCGUUGGCCGGCAACGGCAAGUUCCGACCCUCCGCCAGUCUCAGUUCCGAUUCGGUCCUCUCCACCCCACCGAAGUAGGGCUGAUUCAGUACCAGCCCUUGGAUCUUCAUCGCCCCAAGAUCAGCAUCAAGUGCACGUAGACCUGCGUGGAACACCAUGUUUGCUCCUGCACUGCCCCCCAUCAAAAAGCACUUGGAAAAAUCAGCGUACUCUCUCAACCACGGCUCACCGCCGUCGAUCUCCGCAGCCGCCUGGCUCCGGACCCACAUGAUGGCUUCGGCGGCGUCUUCGUAGGCAGCCGGGAGACGGUGCUCCGGCGCGAGACGGUACUCGAGGGACAGGACCAGAGCUGGAAGCUUAGCUGCCAUGGAGUUGCAAGUUUCAUGGAAAGGCGGAGUAGAGACGCUGGCGACAACGAACCCACCUCCAUGAAAGUACAAGAUGACUGGAAGCUUGGUGUUUGGAGGAAGAAGACGAGGCCGGAAGAGGCGGAGAAAGGUGUUGUUGGCGGGGUUGAGAGGCACAUCUUUGGAAAAAGCCACGGCGGAGUCGGAGGCGGCGGUUUCAUCAGUAGCAGCUAGGGAGAGAUGUGAGCUACGGCGAGUGAAAGAGCCAUCUGGGUUAGGGACGAGGCCGAUGGAGUUAUAAGCGUCCAUGGAGGAUGGUGGUGGCGCAGAGUCUGCUAUGGCUAUUUGAGUGGUGAGAGUUUGUUUUGAAGAAGAUAUACAAAGGAGUCUGGCUGGGUAGCCGUAUAGGAUAUCAAUGGAGCUAUGGUUGGUGUAUAAUUUAUAUAAGGUGAGGGGAUUUUUGGUAAGAGUACAGUAAUUUUAUAAAAUAAUUCUUAAAUUAUCCUAAAAAAAAUAAUUUCAUAUAUACGAUAGUUUUUAUAAGUGAUAUUUCUUUUCUUUAUCCAGUUGGAAACAGUAUUUUAAAAAGACGAUUUCCCAAAAAAAAAAAAAAAAAAGCAAUUAAAUAGAAAUAGUCUAUUUUAAAAAAUAAUAAUAAUUGAAAAUCGUAUCUUGAUGCAGCUAUUUCCCUGCUUUUUCGGUACCAAACUUACUCUUCGGUCUAAAAUCAUCUCAUUGUUUAACAUCAUAACAUCAGGACUUUUGUUCAAAGCUAAUCACACUCUAAAGACUCACUCCUUUCUUUCCAUUGUCUACACUUCAUACUUCUGUACUCUCUGUUUAGCUCAUUUCCUUCCAUCCACCCUCAAUCUUCUCCACACCAAUCUCAUCUUCUCAACCUCUAUAGUUUAUAUAUUCCAUUUUUCCACAUUUCUUGAUUUUCUCAAUCAAUAUAGUCUCAAAAAAAAAAAAAAAAUUCCACCAAUUUGCUAAUUUUUUUUGUGGAAUUUGUAAGACGAUUUCCAAUUAUAUAUAUUUUUUUAAAAUAGACAAUUUUCACUAAAUUUCUUUUUUUAGGAAAUCAUCUCUUUAAGAGACGAUUUCUAAUUUGCUUAAUUUUCUUUUUUAAAUCAUCUUUUCAACAAACAAUUUUUGAAUGGUAUAUAUACAUUUUGUAAAGAUGAUUUUCAACUUGAUAAAAAAGAUAAAUAUCAUUCCUUUUUAUUUGAUAAAAAUUAUCGUAGAUUUAAAAUUAUUUUUUUUAUUAUGGUAAUUUAAAAUUUAUUUUUUAAAAAUUCGAUAAUCUUAUAAAAAAUACUAAGUAGAUGAGUGAGCAAAUUCUAGUUUUGGGAUCGAUGGAUCGAUCGAGAGCAGAGUUUUUAUCAGAAUUCUUUAGGUUGAAUACUUGACCAGUUCUGGCGGCUAUUCGAUUGAAAUCAAUAAUCUUGCUGUGCAAGUAAUGAUUUUGUUGCAUGUUAUCAAAUCUUAAUUGUACUCUUUUGAAUAGUACAAAAAGAAUCUUCCAUAUGGGCGGCUUCUGACAGUCAACAAAUAUAGUUUCUAAUGGCUUGCAAAACUUAAGGGUAUGUUUGGGUCACGGAAAAUAAUAAGGAAAGAAAAAAAAUACAAAAAAAAAAUGAUUUUUUCAUAUUUGAUUGUCCUAUGAAAAAUAUCAAAGAAAAUAAAAUAUAAUUAAAACUAAUUAAAAACUUAUAUAUUUUUAAAUUAUUUAAUCUUUAUAUUGAUGAGUUAAAAUAAAUAAAAUGAGUUUGAAGUAACAAAAAGAAAUAAUUUAUCGAUUUUUAAUCUAUUUUUUAUUUUUCUUCAUUUUUUUCUUUCCUUCUACUUUUCUUUUGUAUUUUCUUUCCCUUGCAUUUUCCCUCAAAUUUUCUGGGAACCAAACAUAGCCUAAGGAAAAUUCUAGGGUACCUCAUUCGGUACCGUACCGAAAAGUUUUUAAGCCAUUGGAUGUCCAAGAUUACAUCUUGGCCAUCCAUUUUAAAUUUGAAAAAAAAUAAAAAAAAAAUCCACUUAACCGAUUAAGGGAAGAAGGAAGAACUGGUUGUGGCCUUCCACUCUCUUCUCCUUUAAUUUCAUCUUCCCCCAUUAUCAACAAUUAUGGGUUUAAAUAAAAUAAAUAUGAGAUAAAUAUUGAUACAAAAAUAGAAUUGAAAAAAAAAAUUGAAAUUGAUAUAAAAUUUGAAAACAUAUUUAUUAACAAAAAAAAUUCAUCAUAUAUUAUAGAUACAUUAUUUCAUUUUUAACAAAUUAUUAAUCAUUUUAAAUUCGACAUGAAAAUGAACAUAGUAAUAUUUCAAUAUAAAAUGAGUAUUUAUAUUAAAAUUCAACAUUUUGAUGAUUAUAUGUAAAGAUUAGGUAAUUAGAUUGCCCUAAUAUUUUUCACUCUCCAAAUUUUACAUUUUUGAAUUUAAGGUUUUUAAAUUAAAAUUACAAUAAAAUAAAUUAGUAAUAAUCUUUUGAGUUACUAAUGAUAGUAUUUUCGAAAAUAAAUUUGUAAUUUCAAUUUUUUUAAAAAAAAAAUUGACAUGAAAAAAUUGAUAAAGGUACCAAACAUGUAUUUAUCACAUUUUUUCGUACCAUUCUUAUAUUUUUUGUAUCCUAAAUUAUUUUUAUUUUUUAAAUUUCAGAUUUACUUUUUAACUUGAAAUGACAAUAAAAUAGUUUAAUAAUAUUUUUUUGAGUUAUUAUUGUUGAGAUAUUAGGAAUGCUUUCCUUGUAUCAUUAUUUCCUUAUAUCAUUUAGUGUUGAGAUAUUAGGAAUGUUUACAUAUUAGGAAAGUUAAGAUAUUAUGAAUAUUGAGAUAUUAUGAAUAUUGAGAUAUUAGGAAAGUUGAGAUAUUAGGAUAUUAGUUGUUAUUUCCUUAUAUUAUUCUUUCCUUGUAUCAUCCUUUCCCAUUCUUAGAAUGGUGAUUACCCUCUAUAUAUACUCUGUAUAUGAAUGAAAGAAAGUAUGAAUGAAAAACUACCAUUCAUCAAUUUGAAGAUGGUAUCAGAGUCAGGGAACUGAAAUCCUGGAUAUUUUGUUGUAAGGCCAACAAUCGCCCCUCCUUUGAGAAAGAAGAAAAAAAAAGAGUGAAAAAAGUACUAUUGUUUUUCAAUCUGAAGGUACUUUCAAUCUAGAAAUUAUUUUGACUGAAUCAAACUAUGACGUUUGGUCACAACUCGUGGAGAUGCAUAUUGCCGAACGGGAAAAACUUUCCUACAUCCAAGGUAAGACAAAUCUACCAAAAGAGUCAGAAGAUGGAUAUGAAAAAUGGUAUGCUGAGAAUCAAAAGGUGAAGAGAUGGUUGUUAAUGUCCAUGAGUCCAGAAAUUAUGAAGCGUUACUUACACUUACCCACCACUCAAGAAAUUUGGAGUGCAUUAUCAAAGGCCUUCUAUGAUGGAAGUGAUGAAUUACAAGUUUUCACUUUGAAUCAAAAAGCCUUCACUACCAAACAAAACGGCAGGUCUCUUUCUGAAUAUUAUGGAGAGUUAACUGAACUUUUUUGCGAAUUGGAUCAUCGGGAUAAGGUAGUUAUGAAAGACCCUGAAGACAUUGCAACAUACCGGAAAUCCAUUGAACGACAACGGGUGCACAUCUUUCUUGCUGGAUUGGGUGGUGACUUUGAGCAAGUUCGAGGAGAGAUUCUACGCAAAGAUCCUCUUCCCGAUUUGGAAGAAUGCUAUGCACUGAUUCGACGAGAGGCAAUACGUCACGCUAGUAUGAAAGCAGAAUCUGACAACCCUGACACCUCAGCUAUGGUAGUUCGACAACAAUCAACCCGAAAUUGGCAGGACCAAUCCAAGACCAACCAUCCUAAGACAAACCCUAAUAUUGAUAAGUCAACCUUCAAAUGCACUCACUGCAAUAAGACUAGUCAUACCAAGAGUCGUUGCUUUGAAAUUGUGGGAUAUCUAGACUGGUGGGAUCACAAUCGUGAUCAACGAAAGAAGGAUUCCAAGAAAACCUCGACUGCAGCUAUUGCCAAAAUAAAAACAGAGGCUAAUGUUGAUGAGAAAGCCUUUGCAUUGGUAGCCACUACAGAUCAUGGUGGUAAGUUUUUAAAUACUUCUACACCUGUUAUUAAUAAUGAAUGGAUAAUUGAUUCUGGUGCUACAGAUCAUAUGACUUUAGAUUCUAGACAGGUCUCACCCCUUAAACCUUCCUCACAAAAAUUUGUUUCCACAGCCAAUGGUAACACAACCCCAGUCAUUGGGGAAGGAUCCUUAACUCUUACUGAUACUUUGAAUUUGGAUUCUAUUUUAGUUGCUCCAUCCUUAAAUUACAAUCUUUUGUCAGUUUCUCAAAUCACUGCAGUUUUAUCUGAUAUUGUCAUUUUUUGGCCUGAAUUUUUUGUUUUUAAGGACAUCCAAACAAGACAGACGAUUAGUUUUGGUAUUAAGCGAGGAAAACUCUAUUAUUUGGACUUGUAGUCAAAGGAUUCAAAUAAGUUGCAACAAGCCUUGAUGGCAGAUGGAUCUGAGGGGGAGAAGAAAAAGUCUGAAAUUUGGUUGUGGCAUCGACGUCUGGGAUAUGCUUCCUUUGGUUAUUUAAAAAAAUUAUUUCCUAGUUUGUUUGCAAAGAGUGAUAUUUUUGGUUUCCGUUGUGAUAUUUGUGAAUUGGCUAAAAGCCAUCGUGCUUCCUUUCCAUUAAUUUUGAAUAAAAGUCCGUCUCCUUUUAUGGUUAUACAUUCUGAUGUUUGGGGCCCAUCCAAAGUCCCAACAUUGAGCGGUUCGCGUUGGUUUGUUACUUUUAUUGAUGAUUGUACCAGAAUGACAUGGUUAUGCUUGAUGAAAACCAAAGAUGAAGUGAACUUGUUGUUUCAAAAUUUUCAUAAAAUGAUUGAAACUCAAUACAAUGCAAAGGUUCAGGUUCUGCGUAGUGAUAAUGGUGGAGAAUGUCAAAGUUCUGAUCUUCAAAAGUAUUUGGAAGGACAUGACAUCAUUCAUCAAACUACUUGUUCCAAUACACCCCAGCAAAAUGGAGUCGUUGAACGAAAAAAUCGGCACUUGUUAGAGGUUGUUCGUGCUUCCUUGAUAGCAGCAAAAACACUGAUAUCUUAUUGGGGAGAAGCAAUCACAUCUGCCGUAUACUUGAUCAAUCGGGUAUCUUCUAGCUCAAUUAACUUUCAAACACCUCUCCAAGCUCUUAUUAAUGUCGUAGUUGCCCCAACCGUCCCAAAUCUACCUCCUCAUGUUUUUGGUUGCGUGGCAUUUGUGCAUCUACACAAGCACCAACGCACUAAGUUAACUUCUCAUGCAUUGCAAUGUGUGUUUGUUGGAUAUGCAUUGCACAAAAAGGGAUAUCGAUGUUACCAUCCUCCAACUCGACAAAUGUAUAUUACAAUGGAUGUGGUGUUUCAUGAAGAUUCGAUGUAUUUUUCAUCUGAGUCUGAACUUCAGGGGGAAUACCAUAAGGAAAUUCAGACUCUUGAUUAUGAUUAUCAUAUCUCUAAGGAAGAUGAAUCUGGACAAUCUGAACUAGUGAACCAGGAAGUGGGUGAGUUGGAUAUGAGUGGUUAACAAUUUGGGUCCGAAGAUGUCUUCACUGAAAUACCAAACCAAUCGUCGUCUGUUGAGGGUGUUCUUAAUUAGGAACCCGAUCCAUUCAUGAAACGGUUACCACAUCGUCAUAAUAGAGGUAUUCCUAAACCCACAUAUGAACCUGAUUUGUCUACCAAAGUCAAAUAUCCCAUGAGCAACUAUGUGUCUAACCAUCGUUUGUCUGAAUCAAAUAAGUCAUUUGUAAAUCAAUUAUCUACUGUAGUUAUUCCUAACAGUGUGCAGGAAGCCUUAGUUGAUCCAAGGUGGAAAGCAAGAUUGGUUAGCUGAUAUCCUCACCAAAGUUGUCUCAAGUCAAGUAUUCUCAAAAUUUUUUAGACAAGUUGGGCAUGUGUGACAUCUAUGCACCAACUUGAGGGGGAGUGUUGAGAUAUUAGGAAUGCUUUCCUUAUAUCAUUAUUUCCUUAUAUCAUUUAGUGUUGAUAUAUUAGGAAUGUUUAGAUAUUAGGAAAGUUAAGAUAUUAUGAAUAUUGAGAUAUUAGGAAUAUUGAGAUAGGAAUGUUUAGAUAUUAGGAAAGUUAAGAUAUUAUGAAUAUUGAGAUUUUAGGAAUAUUGAGAUAUUAGGAAAGUUGAGAUAUUAGGAUAUUAGUUGUUAUUUCCUUAUAUUAUUCUUUCCUUGUAUCAUCAUUUCCCAUUCUUAGAAUGGUGAUUACCCUCUAUAUAUACUCUGUAUAUGAACGAAAGAAAGUAUGAAUGAAAAACUACCAUUCAUCAAUUUGAAGAAUUAUUGAUAGAAUUGUUAAAAAAUAAGAAUGAAAAAAAAAUUUAAAUAUGGAAAUGAUGUAAAUUAUCUUUAAAAAAUUAGAAAAUUAAAACAGUAAAAAAAUUGGGAAGAAUACAAAGAAUGCAAGGAAAAGUAUGAAGAAUAUAAGAAAUCCUGACAUUUUUCGUAUCAUUCCUCAUGAUAAUAUUGUUUAUUGAUAGUAAUUAACCUUAGUGAUACUAAUUAAGCUUAGAAAUGAUGAAAAUUGUUUUAAAAAAAAAAUUAAAAUACUAAGUAAUUGUAAAGGGUAUGUGAGCAAAAUUUAAAAACUUUUUGAAUUUUUCAAUUUUUUGCCACUUAGAAAUACAAAUAAUAUUGUAUAUUGAUACUACUCAAGCUUAGAAAUGAUGAAAAUUAUUCUCAAAUUGUAGAAGGUACGAAGAAUUCCCUCACAUUCUUUAUACCUUUCGUCACAUUUUCUUUACUCUAAAAAAUUUUACAAUUUUUUUUUUAAAUUUUUCCACAUGGACGAAAUUUUACAAUUUUUCGAAUUUCCACUUAAAAAUACAAUAAUAUUGUUUAUUGAUACUAAUUAAACUUAGAAAUGAUGGAAAUUAUCCUUAAAAAAAUAAAUAUUAAAAUAUUAAAAUUUGGAGAGUACAAAGAAUGUGAGGAAGGGUACAAAGAAUGUGAGGAAUCUUCAUAUUCCUCAUACACUACUUCUUCACAUUAUUUGUACCUUUAGAAUUUUACGAUUUUUUGGAUUUUUUUUUAAAAAAAUCUACUUGAAAAUACAAUAAUAUUGUUUAUUUAUAUUAAUUAAGUUUAGAAAUUAUGGAAAUUAUUCUAUAAAAAAAUUAAAAUGUUAAAACACUAAGUAAUUAUAAAAUGUACAAAAAAUGUAAGGUUACGAAGAAUAUGAGUAAGGGUAUAAAGAAUGUGAAGAAGGACAUGAAGAAUAUGAGAAAUUCUUAUAUUCUUCGUACCCUUCCUUGCAUUCUUCGUACCUUGAAAAUUUGACAAAUUUUCAUAUUUUUUUAAUUUUGUUUUUACUUUGAAAUAUAAUAAUAUUGUUUAUUGAUACUAAUUAAGCUUAGAAAUGAUGGAAAUUAUACUUAAAAAAAUAAAAAAUUAAAAUGUUAAAAAAUUGGAGAGAGUAUAAAGAAUGUGAGGAAGGGUACGAAAAAUGGAAAUUCCUCACAUUCUUCAUACCCUUUAAAUUUUACAAUUUUUUUGAAUUUUUCAAAUUGUUUUUCAACUUGAUGGAAUUUUUCAUUAUUUUGUAGUAAAAGCAGUAAAAAUUAUUUUUUAUUGUCAAAUUGAAAUUUUAUAAUAAAUUCUUUUGAUAGAAUAAGUGCAAAUAAUUUUCUUGAAAAUAAAAAUUGAAUACAAAUAAAAUUGAAUAACUCAUUUGUUGGAAAUAAAUUGACUCUUUUGUAAAUAAAUAAAUUGAAAUCAUUAAUUUGAAAUUGUUUUUAAUAAACUCUUUUGAAAUUUCUUGAAAAAAUAAUUUUUGAAAUAUUUUUUAAUCAGAUCAAUAAAUUAAUUACAUAAUUCUCAUAUCAUUUAUCUUGUAUAUUCUUAUAAUUUGAUUUUAUCAUCAUUUUUGUAUAUAUUGAUUUGUGUCUUUAAUCUUGGUACCAUUGAUUAAUUAAUUAAUUGUUACAGUUCCCUCAAUUCAUUUAGUAAAGAUUGUAGAUAUACAAACUUUAAGGGAUACGACGGUUCAUCGUUGUAUUUUCCUGAUAAGUAAUCUGACCUCGAUAAGUAAAUUCAAAAUCGGUUUUUGUAAAUGUCUUUUCCAAAUAGAGUCACACAUGGUUUUUUUUUUUUUCUUAUUUUGUUUUCCCUUGAAAAAAAAAGACCAAAAUAAAUUACUACUCUAAGUCUUUUCUAAAAUUCAAAUUUUUACCAAUAAAAAGCAAGUCUCGUCGUUUGAGUGAGAACACACAUAAAAAAUGUGAAUCCAUAAUAUGAAUAUUGAAAUUUUAUAAUUUUAAGAAUCUUUUUCACUUAGAAAUUCAAUAAUAUUGUUUAUUAUACUAAUUAAGCUUUGAAAUGAUGAAGAUUAUCCUUAAAAAAAAAAAAAACAUUAAAAUAUUAAAAAAAUCUUUUUCCAAUUUUAAGAUUUUUUUUUCUUAAAAAUAUAACAAUAUUGGUUAUCCAUACUAAUUACCCAAAUGAUGAAAAAUAUCCUUCAAAAAUUUUUAAAAAUUGAUACACUAAAAAAUUGGAGGAGGCUCAAAUUAUGCUUAGAAUUAAUUGAAAUCAUGCAAUUUCUUUUUUAGCUUCAAUUAUCCAUUGUAUUGUUUUUCCUAGUUUCAAUAUUUCAUCCAAUCUUGUCCCAAAAAAAAAAAAAAAAAAAUCAAAUUUACAAUAAAAAUUUAAUAAUAUAAUUUUCAAUUACUAAUUAACAAUAAAUACUUAUUUUAAUUUAUUUUAAAAAAUUAUGACUCCAAAUAGUUAUGAUAUUCUUUAAAAAGGCUAAUUACACUCACAUUUUUCCUACCUUCUAAUUUUUAAAAUUUUAAAAUUUUGUUUGUUACUUCUAAGAGUCAUCCUUAGAAAUGAUGGAAGUUAGGCACAAAAAAAAUUGAAAUUAAAAACAUAGAAAAAUUUCCUAGCAUUUUUGUACUAUUCCCGCAUUUUGGUACUCUCCAAAAUUCUCAAAUUUUUUAUUUAAAGAUUUUUUUUCCACUUCCAAAAAAUGCUUUCAAUAUUUAAUCCAAUCUUCUCCACACACACACACACACAAAAUAAUAAUAAAAAUAAUAUUACAAUUUCUAAUUUAUAAUUGUAUUAUUACUUGUAAUUUAUUUAUUUUUUUUAUGGAGAAGAUUGGAUUAAAUAUUGAAGGCAUUUUUUGGAAGUGGAAAAAAAUUCUUAAAAUAAAAAAAUUGAGAAUUUUGGAGAGUAACAAAAAUGUGAGAAUGGUACAAAAAUGUGAGGAAAUUUUUCUGUAUUUUUAAUAUAGAACUGUUUUGUGCCUAGCUUCCAUCAUUUCUAAAAAUGAUUAGUAUGCCUAAGCAAUAUUGAUGCGAUUAGAAGUGGCAAAAAUUAAUUAAUUAAUUAAAAAAUUAGAAAAAAUAGAGGAUACAAAAAUGUGAGUGUGAUUAGUCUUUUUAAAUAAUAUUAUAACUAUUUGGAAUUGAUUUUUUUUAAAUAAAUUAAAAUAAAUCUUGAAAUAAGUAUUUAUUGUUAAUUACUAAUUGAAAAUUGUAUUAUUCAUUUUUUAUUGUAAAUUUGAUUUGAUUUUAUUAUUUUUUUUGGGGGGGGGGGGGGGGGGGGGGGGGGNNNNNNNNNNNNNNNNNNNNNNNNNNNNNNNNNNNNNNNNNNNNNNNNNNNNNNNNNNNNNNNNNNNNNNNNNNNNNNNNNNNNNNNNNNNNNNNNNNNNGGGGGGGGGGGGGGGGGGGGGGGGAAAGAUUAGAUGAAAUAUUGAAAGUAUGAAAACAAUGCAAUGGUUAAUUGAAGUGGAAAAAGAAAUUGCUUGAUUUCAAUUAAUUCUAAGUGUAAAUUGAGACCUUUCCAAAUUUUCAGUGUAUCAAUUUUUUAAUUUUUUUGGAGAAUAUUUUUCAUCAUUUCUAAGCUUAAUUAGUAUAAAUAAAUAUUAUUACAUUUUCAAGCAAAAAAAGUCUUAAAAUUGGAAAAAGAUUUUUUAAUGUUUUAAUUUUUAAAUUUUUUAAGGAUAAUUUUCAUCAUUUGUAAGCUUAAUUUCAAAGUGAAAAAGAUUCUUAAAAUUAUAAAUUUCAAUCCUCAUAUUCUUCGUAUAUUCUAGAAUUACUUAGUGUUUAAAGUUUUUAAUUUUUUAAGGAUAAUUUUCAUCAUUUUUAAGCUUAAUUAACAUGGAUAAACAAUAUUAUUGCAUUUCUAAAUGAAAAAAAAAAUUAAAAUUGGAAAAAAAAAAUGUAAAAAUUCAAGGGUAUGAAGAAUGUGGAAGAUGGUAAAAAUAAUGUGAGGAGGGUACAACUUUUAUAAUUUUUUAAAUUUUAAGAAUUUUUUUUCCACUUGGAAAUACAAUAAUAUUGUUUAUUGAUAUUAAUUAUGCCUAGAAAUGAUAGAAAUUAUUCUAAGAAAAAUUAAAAAUUAAAACACGAAAAAAUUUGAGAAGGUUCUCACAUUCUCUAUACCCUUCCUCAUAUUCUUCAUGCCCUUUCCAAUUUUGUUUUAAUUUUUUUUUAGGAUAAGUUACAUCAUUUUUAAGCUUAAUUAACAUCGAUAAACAAUAUUAUUGUAUUUCUAAGUGGAACAAAAAUUCAAAAAGAUUCAAAAAAUUGUAAAAUUCCCAGGGUACGAAGAAUGUGAGGAAGGGUAUGAAGAAUGUGAGGAUUUCUCACAUUUCUAUACCAUUUCAAAUUUUUUAGUGUUUUAAUUUUUAAAUUUUAAUUUUUUUAAAAAAAUAAUUUUCAUCAUUUCUAAGCUUAAUUAGUAUUGAUAAACAAUAUUAUUGUAUUUUUAAGUAAAAAAAAAAUUCGAAAAAUUUGAAAAAUUGUAAAAUUUCGAGGGUACAAUCCUUAUAUUCUUCAUACCAUCUCCAAUUUUUUAAUGUUUUAAUUUUCAAUUUUUUUAAGGAUAAUUUACAUCAUUUCUAAACUUAAUUAAUAUCAUUAAACAAUAUCAUUGUAUUUCUAAGUGGACAAAAAUUAGAAAAAAUGUAAAAUUUCGAUAGUAUAAGAAAUGUGAGGAAGGGUACGAAGAAUGCAAAGAUUUUUCAUAUUCUUCGUACCAUUUGUCACAUUCUUUGUACCAUCUCAAAAUUUUUAGUAUUUAAAAUUUUAAAAUUUUUAAAGAUAAUUUCCAUAAUUUUUAAACUUAAUUAGUAUUAAUAAAUAAUAUUAUUGUAUUUCUAAGUGGAAAAAAUUUCAAAAAAUUGUAAAAUUUCGAGGGUAUAAACAAUGUGAGGAUUAAUUAGUAAAUCAUUUUCUAUACAUUUAUUAACGUUGAAUAUUUCUUGAUUGACUUCUUCCUAUGCCCAAGGUUGUUUGUCUUAAUUUGAUGGUCAAUCUUUGCCAUCAAAUUAAAAACACAUUUCAGUAGAAUUGUCUAAUAUCACUUUAAGUGGAAAAAAAGAACAAAAAUGAAUUCAUGAAUGAUUUAUCUUUUCUAAUAAUAUGUUUCGAGGUUGUUUAGAUAAUUGAGAUCUUAUUUUAGGUUAUAUUUGAGUUAAGAACAUAGUAUUAUACCUAUUUUAUUACACUAUAGAGUUCAAAUUGAAGUAAGUGUUGCGAUUUGAUUGAGCGUUUUUAUAAUUUAUAGAUUUCACAAGAUGGGUAAGGAAAAAAAUAAUCAAAUCAUGAAAAAUGUGACUAAGAUAUAAAAAAGUUAUUGAAGUAUAAAUAAUAGAAAUAAAAAAUCAAUCAUGAUUUUAGAAGGAGUUGCUUAGGUAAUUGAAAUAAUUGAGAUAUUAUCAUAAGUUUGAUUCCAUUAAUUUUAGCAUUUUAUGCUACAUAUUUUUGUGUACAUGAUUUCACAUCAUAUACUAGAGUAUGGUAUCAUAUGGUUAUAUGGGCCCUGGUCCGUCCAUGGGCCUAGGUGGCAAGGCCCAGCAAGUUGUCACCUUUUCCUGCUAUGUCACAAGGAACAAGCUCAUCUACAUUCCAUGGCAUGUCCUCCAAAAGUAAAGAACAAGAAAAAUAGUGCCCAAAAUCAAUUUCUAACCAUUUGAAAAAUCUUAAGGUGUGGGUACGAUCUUUUAUACAUUCUAAUUAGAAUUUUCAAGUUAGUCUUAAAGGUAGGAUGAGAACCGUAUAUACUUGAAUCAACGACCAAUUAAGAGUUAAUUAGAUUUGAUUUCAAUUAUGUUAAUGUAAGUUCGAUGUUUGAUUAAGGAUGCUAACCAUAUGUUUUUUAAUCUAGGGUGUAGGCCAACCACAACUAGGCUUCAUUUUGAUUUUUUGUCAUGUUGAGUUUGGUCUUGGUCUCGAGAAAAAUACGAAGGGUAUUUGUUUCUUCACUUAGAAGACUACACUUCAAAUCAAUGAGAAAUACUUAUAGUUUGUUGAAGUAAUUGUACUUUUAUUUUCUUCUUUUUCUCGAAAAAUGGAAAUGUGAUCCUCUAUUUACAUAAAAUUUCAACUUAAAGCUUAUUGAAGAUCAUUGCAUGCUUAUUUUCUUUUCUUUCUUAUAACCAGGUGGAUUUGGGACAGGAUGUACCCAUUUCAACCUUAUCCCGUUUAUUGAAAAUAAUUUUCAUCCUCAUCCUAUUAAAAAAAUUAAAUAAGACUUGAUGAGGUGGGAUGGGAAUGCAAAUUUUUCAUACCCAUCCCACCCUAUCCUAUUUAACUUUGUUUUGAAAUUUUUUAAAAUUUUUUUAAUUUUUUUAAUUACAUUAAAAUAAAUAUAUUUUAUAAACAAUUAAAAUAUUAUAAUUAACUUAUUUUAUUAAAAAAUAUUUAUUAUUAUUACUAUUAUGAUUAUUAUUAUUAUAUUAAAAAUAUAUUUAAAAAAAUUAAUUUUAUAUAUAAUUAGGGUGGAGCGGAGCAAGACAAGACAAUGCUCGAACCCACCCUGAACAUGUCAUCUCUAAGAUAGAUCCUCUAUUUAUAGAAAAUUUUAACUUAAAAAGCUUGUUGAAGCUUAUUUUAUACUUAUUUUCUUCUCUUUCUCAUAAAAAGAUCCUCUAUUGUUUAGAAAAAAAAUUCAAUAAAUAGAUUAUUCACUCUCACACUUGGUGUAUGUUUGGCUAAAAAAAAAUACUACGAAAAAUGUUAUUCCUAAGGUGGUUUGGUUACUGUAAAUAAUGGGUGAGGAAAAAAAUACCGAAAAUAUGGAGCUAAAUAUUUUAAUGUGUAAUUUAGUUUUCUCUUCAUAAAAAAAAUAAUAAUAAUAAAGAGAAAAAUUAGAAGAAAUAAAAAUAAAAAAUAGAUUUAUUAAAGACUUGAAUAAUAACAUGAAGAUUCACAAGAAUAUUACAAAUGCUUUGGUUAGGUUGACAAGUCCGGAUGGAAAGCCCCUCAAUGUACUCCCAACUCAGAUCCUUCAAAUCCUCUCUUGUAUUACUUGUCUAACGAAGAACUUCAAAACGUUAAAAAGUGCUUAAAUGCUAUGUAAUGAGGUAAUGGAUUGACGAAACCAUGUGGAAAACACCAUCAGCCACUGUGAGAGAUACCCAUCGUGAUUCCUCUCCCCUUCAAAGUAUAGGUGUGUUUGUUUCCCAAGAAAAUGAUGUUAAACAUAUAAUUAAUACAUUCCACGACCCUUCUGUCUGAAAAUUUAUUUAAUCUAAACUGAUGUUUGGUUCCCGUGAAAUCCAAUUUAUUAAUGUUUUCGGUCAACACAUCACAUGGUUGAUUUUGAAGCGGUGGAGUAAAUGAAAUUCUUGACAUCAUUAUACAAAGCUUCAGCCUGUGAGGGAUCAAAGAUCUCCACGCCAUGGUGACCGCCAUCAUUGAAUUUAGCCACCACGUGCACCCCACGCGCCUCCAUCAUCUCCGCAAACCUCCUCUGUCUGUCAACCAGUGGAUCCCCACCGUACCCUCUCACCAGACACUUCUGCAGCCGUCCGAUCUUCUCCUGGUGGGACUGGGACCCUCCCGCCAUUGGAUUACUAUACUCAUGAUCACGAUCAGCGCCGUUGGGCAAUGCAAGUGCCCAUAGCAGAUCGUUCGCCGGCAACGGCACGAUCCGAUCGUCCGCCAGUCUCAGUUCCGAUUCGGUCCUCUCCACCCCACCGAAGUAGGGCUGAUUCAGUACCAGCCCUUGGAUCUUCAUCGCCCCAAGAUCAGCAUCAAGUGCACGCACACCUGCGUGGAACACGAUGUUUGCUCCUGCACUGCCCCCCAUCAAAAAGCACUUGGAAAAAUCAGCGUACUCUCUCAGCCACGGCUCACCACCGUCGAUCUCCGCAGCCGCCUGGCUCCGGACCCACAUGAUGGCUUCGAAGGCGUCCUCGUAGGCAGCCGGGAGACGGUGCUCCGGCGCGAGACGGUACUCGAGGGACAGGACCAGAGCUGGAAGCUUAGCUGCCAUGGAGUUGCAAGAUUUGUGGAAAGGCAGAUUAGAGACGCUGAAGAGAACGAACCCACCUCCAUGAAAGUACAAGAUGACGGGAAGCUUGGUGUUUGGAGGAAGAAGACUAGGCCGGUAGAUGCGGAGAAAGGUGUUGUUGGCGGGGUUGAGGGGCACGUCUUUGGAAAAAGCCACAGCGGUGUCGGUGGCGGCGGUGGUUUCAUCAGUAGCGGGUACAGAGGGAAAUGGGCUACUGCGAGUGAGAGAGCCAUCUGGGUUAGGGACGAGGCCGAGGGACUUAUAAGCGUCCAUGGAAGAUG
rnacentral:lncRNA from 1 species